GCGAGUUUGGCUCAGUUGGUAGAGCGCUAGCUUCCCAAGCUGGAUGUCGCGGGUUCGAGUCCCGUAACUCGCU
rnacentral:tRNA from 2 species